GGAGAGGUGGCCGAGCGGUCGAAGGCGCUGGACUGGAAUUCCAGUAAUACCCCAAAGGUAUUCGUGGGUUCGAAUCCCACCCUCUCCGCCA
rnacentral:tRNA from 1 species